rnacentral:lncRNA from 10 species
AAUACUCUUCACUUCAUCCUAAAGAGGGAGAGAAAAUCUUUUUCUGUCUGGUGUUUUUCAAAAUUUUGAUGAUGGACUCACAUCAAGGAUGAAGAGCUUUGAUGUCAUUUGAACACCACCACCAUCACCACCACCAGCAUCAACAAACAAACAAGCAAACAAGCGUGAACUCAGGAGCCCUGUGGCCCAGCCUCCAGUCCAUUUCCUCACUGUGAUCUGGCUAAGUCACCUCCCCUCCACCUCAGUUCAGUCACCUACACAACAGGAAUGGUGGCUCCUGGCGUGAAAAGUUCUUAGGAGCAUUCAGCAUGAUGCUGUGUGGAGCACUUGGAAACUGCGUGUGCAUCACCUCAUAUUUCUGGCCACAGGUCAUUCAGACAUCUGCCCUUUGCCCUGGAGGAGAACCACUAGGGACUUGUGCCCAUAAGCACCAAUUCUGGCUUUUACCCUACCCAUCCUUUGCCAUCCCAAACUAUGCCAUCAACAAAUUCUAGAAAUCAAGUUAGAAAUGCUGUUCCCACGAGGGUCUCUGUGGUCUCUCAGAACAACAAUCAGCUGGCCCUGCUGGGCAGAUGUUGCCCAAUCCUAACCCACACUUAGCUAUCAACUUAAUCAUUCUCAACUAAAAACACCUACCUGAACACUUUUAGGGGUUAAGAAUAGUAUAAUCUCACUUAGCCAUUUGCAUUUUUUCUUCUUUUUACAAAAAGAAAUUUAUCUUUUUUUUUUUUUGAGACGGAGUCUUGCUCUGUUGCCCAGGUUGGAGUGCAGUGGCGCAAUCUUGGCUCACUGCAAGCUCCGCCUCCUGGGUUAGCGCCAUUCUCCUGCCUCAGCCUCCCGAGUAGCUGGGACUACAGGUGCCUGCCACCACGCCUGGCUAAUUUUUUUGUAUUUUUAGUAGAGACGGGGUUUCACCGUGUUAGUCAGGAUCGUCUUGAUCUCCUGACAUCGUGAUUCGCCCUCCUCAGCCUCCCAAAGUGCUGGGAUUACAGGCGUGAGCCACUGCGCUCUGCCAAGAAUAGUAUAAUCUCACUUAGCCAUUUGUAUUUUUUCUUCUUUUUACAAAAAGAAAUUUAUCUCAUUAUUAUGUUUAAUCAGUUUCUUGAGGUAUAACUUAAGUGUGCUAAAAUUUGCUCUUUUUAGUGUACAGGUCUAGGAUUUUUGAGAAACACAUAUUCAUAUGUGACCACCCCCAUGAUCAACAUAUGGAACAGUCAUUUGCCACCCAAAAUUACCUUGUGCCCUUUUGUUGUCAGACUCUUCUUUCUCCAGACCCUGGCAACCACUGAUGGAUUUUCUGUCCCUAUAGUUUUGCCUUUUCCAGAAUGUUCUGCAAAUGUAAUCAUUUAGUAUGUAGCCUUUUAAGUCUGAUUUCUUUCACUCUGCAUAAUGCAUUUGAGAUUCACCCACGUUGUUACCUGUUACAAUGGUUUGUUCCUUUUUAUUGCGGAGUAAUAUUCCCUUGCAUGGAUGUACCACAGUUUGGGUAACCAUUCAACAGUCAAAUGAGAUUGAAUUUGUUUCCAUUUUUUGGUGAUUAUAAAUACAGCUAUAAACAUUUGUGAAAGUGUUUUGUAUGUACAUACAUUUUUCUUAGACAUUUGGUUUUAAGAGAUGUAUUUAGGUUUAGUUCCAGAUGAACAAUGAGAGACUGAAAGACUUAAGGGACCCCUGAGAAGAGCAGAGGGAAUAUUCCCUGAGGCAGCCAUCAGUCAGACCUGGCCCUGUCAUUUAAAUGUGGGCUAGUGGUAGCAAGAUGCUGUUAUUAUUUUCACCAAGGACAUUUUUUGAGUAGCAAUUAAAAUGAAGUCUAUUUCUCUGAGCCCCUGGAGAAGAACAUAAGCACAUGAUGGUAACCAUCAAUUUAGUGGGCCUAACGUUAUCUAGGUGGUUAAUGUUUCCAUGGCUUCUGGCAAUUCCCAGUGUAAGUCACCUGUGUAUACUGGGUGGAUGCUUCUUUAAAUUAAAGAUAAGCUGUUCAGCUUAAUAACAGCUAAGGGAGAAUAUAGAGCCCGUGGGUGAACUGUUUACUAACAAGCUUCUUCAGGGUCAUUCAACUUGAAUGAACUCUCUUUUAGGCUAACUUGGUUUGUGGAGGGAAUGCAUGUUUCUUAGUUAAAAUAGUUACAUUGGAAUCCCAACUGUGCACAGGACUUCAAGGGUAAUUAUGAACCCCCACUGCAGAUUUCAGGCUUAGCACCAAUUCUCCUUGCUUUCUACUUGUAUCCAUCAAAAACAGAAGUUACGAUGGAGUUACAGCUAUACUUGUAAGGGUCUCAGUGAACCUCUCCCACUAUUCUGCCUUAUCACCUUUGGGUUCCUGUGUUCUCUACCCCCUCCCCACUGCAUGUUUUCAUUCAGCCAGGAAACAUUUACUGCCUGCCUGGUAUCAAGCCCUUGCAUGAGGGUGGGAGCUCAUAAAGAUGACUACACUAGAGAAUCAUUUGACCUUUCUCAUGUAGACCUCAACAUGAAUGAGUUUCAAUGCUGAUAGGGCAAUCAUUACCUUCAGACAAAUUUUCAGGAACAGCCAAGACUAGAGAAUGUAUGGCUAAAACACAGCACUAUGCAUUUAUAAUAGUCAUGGGUUCUCCUGUUUUAAUUGUACAUGGAGAAUAUUUCAGCUUUAUUUGUAUGGGCUGCUCUUAUGUAAAACAUUAUUUCAAUGAGGAAAUGUGUUUGGGGUUCUAAAUGACUAACUUACAAACACAACUUUGAAUAAAGUCCAUGAAUAAUUUGAGGAUUUAUGUCUAUCAAUGGCUGAUUUACCAGAUUGUUGGCUUUGGGUUUAUUGGUAUCCAUGUUGAGAGGCAUCAGAUCAUCCAAGGUUUAAGUUUCGUCCUGACCACUGACUAGCAUUGAGACCUUAAUGGGAUUAAUAACAAUGAUAAUGAUAGUGACAAGAGCUAGCUUUUCAUGAGCACAGUGGCUAAGAGAGUUAGCAUCAGUUCUAGCUGCUUUCAUUGACAUAGAUGUAAAUGGGGAGGGAAACCAUGACUAGACUCAAAUCUCUGCUCUAACGUCUGAUACCUGAAUAUCACUUUGCAAGCCACGUCAUCUCUCUAAGUUGUAGCUCUUUGUCUGAAAAAUGUGGAUAGUUAAUACAUUAUAAAUAAAUUAUUAUUACAUUAAUACACAGAAAUUCAUAAUGCUAUUGUGGGGAUUACAUGAGAUGAUGGAAGUAUUUAAUCUAGUGUCUUGUAUAUGGCAAAUAAAAAAUAAAUAUUCACUGCUG